GUUCGUGGUUAAGAUUUUAUUCAUCAGACUCAAGAUCUUAUUAAUAAACUGGUCAGAGACAUUAUUAUGAGAAGGUAAACAAUUACAAAUAGAUUAUCUCUCAGUUGUUAUGUUAAUUCUUCAAACAAUUCUAUCCUUUAUAGACAUUUUUAUUCACCAUUUACUAAUACUAAAUUAUGACCACUUAUUCUUUAUUUAGUGAAGCAAUGACUGUUUGC
rnacentral:lncRNA from 1 species